AUCUACGGCCAUGCUACCCUGAACAAGCCUGAUCCCAUCUGAUUUCAGAAGCAAAGCAGGGUUGGCCCUUGGUUAGUACUUGGAUGGGAGACCGCCUAGGAAGACCAGAUGCUGUAGGCG
rnacentral:rRNA from 1 species